rnacentral:tRNA from 1 species
GGCGAGGUAGCUCAGUUGGUUAGAGCGCGAGAUUCAUAACCUCGAGGUCACGGGUUCAAAUCCCGUCCUCGCUA